UUAAGUGACUAAGCGUACAAGGUGGAUGCCUUGGCAAUCAGAGGCGAAGAAGGACGUGCUAAUCUGCGAAAAGCUUGGAUGAGUCGAUAAGAGGCGUUUAAUCCAAGAUAUCCGAAUGGGGAAACCCAGUAGAUGAAGAAUCUACUAUCAACAAGUGAAUUCAUAGCUUGUUGAGGCAAACCGGGAGAACUGAAACAUCUAAGUACCCCGAGGAAAAGAAAUCAACCGAGAUUUCGUCAGUAGCGGCGAGCGAAAGCGAAAGAGCCAGUAAGUGAUAGCAGUAUAGUUAGGAGAAUGUGUUGGGAAGCACAAUCAAAGAGGGUGAUAAUCCCGUAUCUAAAAACCAUAUUGUGGUACUAAGCUAACGAGAAGUAGGGCGGGACACGUGAUAUCCUGUUUGAAGAAGGGGGGACCAUCCUCCAAGGCUAAAUACUCCUGAUUGACCGAUAGUGAACCAGUACUGUGAAGGAAAGGCGAAAAGAACCCCGGUGAGGGGAGUGAAAUAGAACCUGAAACCUUGUACGUACAAGCAGUGGGAGCCUGAAAGGGUGACUGCGUACCUUUUGUAUAAUGGGUCAGCGACUUAUAUUUUGUAGCGAGGUUAACUGAAUAAGGGAGCCGAAGGGAAACCGAGUCUUAACUGGGCGAAUAGUUGCAAGGUAUAGACCCGAAACCCGGUGAUCUAGCCAUGGGCAGGUUGAAGGUUGGGUAACACUAACUGGAGGACCGAACCGACUAAUGUUGAAAAAUUAGCGGAUGACUUGUGGCUGGGGGUGAAAGGCCAAUCAAACCGGGAGAUAGCUGGUUCUCCCCGAAAUCUAUUUAGGUAGAGCCUUGAGGUGACACCUUUGGGGGUAGAGCACUGUUUCGGCUAGGGGUCCAUCCCGGAUUACCAACCCGAUGCAAACUACGAAUACCAAAGAGUGAUACUCAGGAGACACACGGCGGGUGCUAACGUCCGUCGUGGAGAGGGAAACAACCCAGACCGCCAGCUAAGGUCCCCAAGUCUAUAUUAAGUGGGAAACGAAGUGGGAAGGCUUAGACAGCUAGGAUGUUGGCUUAGAAGCAGCCAUCAUUUAAAGAAAGCGUAAUAGCUCACUAGUCGAGUCGGCCUGCGCGGAAGAUGUAACGGGGCUCAAAUAUAGCACCGAAGCUGCGGCAUCAGGCGUAUCACUAAUACGCCUUACGAUUAACAAGCUAGAAUGGCGCGAAGCGACAUGAAAGGUUGUUCAAGCGACCCGAACGUUGAGUCGGGUAUCUUUGAGUGAGGAUGAUUAGUGAUACGCCUGUUGGGUAGGGGAGCGUUGUGUAAGCGGAAGAAGGUUCAUCGAGAGGUGGGCUGGACGUAUCACAAGUGCGAAUGCUGACAUAAGUAACGAUAAAACGGGUGAAAAACCCGUUCGCCGGAAGACCAAGGGUUCCUGUCCAACGUUAAUCGGGGCAGGGUGAGUCGGCUCCUAAGGCGAGGCUGAAAAGCGUAGUCGAUGGGAAACAGGUUAAUAUUCCUGUACUUGGUAAAGCUGCGAUGUGGGGACGGAGUAGGUUAGGUUAUCGCACUGUUGGAUAUGUGCGUUUAAGUUGGUAGGUGGGAAGUUUAGGCAAAUCCGGACUUCCUUAACACAGAGAGAUGAUGACGAGGCUCUACGGAGCUGAAGUAACUGAUACCACACUUCCAGGAAAAGCCACUAAGCGAAAGGCUUUACUAAACCGUACUAAAAACCGACACAGGUGGUCAGGUAGAGAAUACUCAGGCGCUUGAGAGAACUCGGGUGAAGGAACUAGGCAAAAUAGCACCGUAACUUCGGGAGAAGGUGCGCCGGCGUAGAUUGUAGUCCCUAGCGGGCGAAGGUUGAACCGGUCGAAGAUACCAGCUGGCUGCAACUGUUUAUUAAAAACACAGCACUCUGCAAACACGAAAGUGGACGUAUAGGGUGUGAUGCCUGCCCGGUGCUGGAAGGUUAAUUGAUGGUGUCAUCGAAAGAGAAGCACCUGAUCGAAGCCCCAGUAAACGGCGGCCGUAACUAUAACGGUCCUAAGGUAGCGAAAUUCCUUGUCGGGUAAGUUCCGACCUGCACGAAUGGCAUAAUGAUGGCCAGGCUGUCUCCACCCGAGACUCAGUGAAAUUGAAAUCGCCGUGAAGAUGCGGUGUACCCGCGGCUAGACGGAAAGACCCCGUGAACCUUUACUAUAGCUUGACACUGAACAUUGAAUUUUGAUGUGUAGGAUAGGUGGGAGACUUAGAAGCAGUCACGCCAGUGAUUGUGGAGUCAUCCUUGAAAUACCACCCUUUAACGUUUGAUGUUCUAACGAAGAUUGCGGAACGCGGUCUCGGACAGUGUCUGGUGGGUAGUUUGACUGGGGCGGUCUCCUCCCAAAGCGUAACGGAGGAGCACGAAGGUUUGCUAAUCACGGUCGGACAUCGUGAGGUUAGUGCAAUGGUAUAAGCAAGCUUAACUGCGAGACAGACAAGUCGAGCAGGUACGAAAGUAGGUCAUAGUGAUCCGGUGGUUCUGAAUGGAAGGGCCAUCGCUCAACGGAUAAAAGGUACUCCGGGGAUAACAGGCUGAUACCGCCCAAGAGUUCAUAUCGACGGCGGUGUUUGGCACCUCGAUGUCGGCUCAUCACAUCCUGGGGCUGAAGUAGGUCCCAAGGGUAUGGCUGUUCGCCAUUUAAAGUGGUACGCGAGCUGGGUUUAGAACGUCGUGAGACAGUUCGGUCCCUAUCUGCCGUGGGCGUAGGAGAAUUGGUUGGGGCUGCUCCUAGUACGAGAGGACCGGAGUGGACGCACCACUGGUGUUCCGGUUGUGUCGCCAGACGCAUUGCCGGGUAGCUAAGUGCGGAAGAGAUAAGUGCUGAAAGCAUCUAAGCACGAAACUUGCCAAGAGAUGAGUUCUCCCAAUCUAAGAGAUAGUAAGGGUUGUUGUAGACUACGACGUAGAUAGGUCUGGUGUGUAAGUGUAGUGAUACAUUGAGCUAACAGAUACUAAUUGCCCGAGAGGCUUAACUAU
rnacentral:rRNA from 1 species